rnacentral:sRNA from 1 species
AUUAUAUACAAGUAUAAAUGAAAUUCAUUUCUAAAUUCUUAAUAAAUAUUUUCUCAUGCCAGGUGUGUUGGCUCACGUCUGUAAUCUCAGCACUUUGACAGGCUGAGCAAGGGAGUGGAUUUUGAGGUCAGGAGUUCGAGACCAGCAUGGCCAAUAUGGAGAAAUCCUGUCUCUACUAAAAAUACAAAAAUUAUCCAGGAGUGGUGGCAUGUGCCUGUAAUCCCAGCUACUCAGGAGGCUGAGGCAGGAGAAUCGCUUGAACCUGGGAGGUAGAGGUUGCAAUGAGCCAAGAUCACCCCACUGCACUCCAGCCUGGGCAACAGAGCGAGACUCCAUCUCAAAAAGCCAGGAGUGGUGGCUCACGCCUGUAAUCCCAGCUCUGGGAGGCCAAGGCCAGUGGAUUGCUUGAGCCCAGGAGUUUGAGACCAGCCUGGGCAACAUGGAAAAACCCUACCUCUACUAAAAAUACAAAAAC